UACGUAGGGUGCGAGCGUUAAUCGGAAUUACUGGGCGUAAAGCGUGCGUAGGCGGUUUGCCGUGUCCUGUGUGAAAGCCCCGGGCUCAACCUGGGAAUUGCAUGGGAAACUGGCAGGCUUGAGUGUGGCAGAGGAGGGUGGAAUUCCGCGUGUAGCAGUGAAAUGCGUAGAGAUGUGGAGGAACACCGAUGGCGAAGGCAGCCCCCUGGGCUGAGAUUGACGCUCAGGCACGAAAGCGUGGGGAGCAAACAGG
rnacentral:rRNA from 1 species